rnacentral:misc_RNA from 1 species
AAGUCGUAACAAGGUUUGGAUACAGCGCUUGAUUCCCUUCCGGAUUGAUGUUUACGAAAGUAGACUUCACACGUUUCAUUAUUUGAACGUAAAAUACAACUCAUAGCAAUGGAUAUCAAUCACUCUAGGUAUCUCACAGUUCUGAAUAGUUCAGAACUAGUUGAGUUAAAUCAACAAUAUUGUCCAAAUGCGGGGACUGUCCAGAAACGUGUUCGUCUACCCAGUACAGAUGCAAAUCUGCUACGACUUAUCAGCAAUGACUAAGGUAUGGUAACAGCGACGAACAUUCGACUGACCCGCAGCCAAGCUCUCUGAAUGAGAGUACAGUCCACAGACUAAAUGACAAUGCUGCACCUCAGUGCAGUAAGAUAUAGUACGAGCUGUGUGUUCUCGCACACAGGUAUACUGCUAGGUUCUC